ensembl:lincRNA
GUGGCAGGAGCAUCAACCUGAACAAUGCAUCUCUGGCUUUCUAGUACACAGCUCCUGCCUCCAGGUUCCUGCCCUGUAUGAGUUCCUGUCCUGACUUCCUUUGGUGAUGAACAGCAAUGUGGAAGUGAUGUAACAACAUCAUUAAGAAGAGAACCGGAAGACAAAGACACAGCUAUUAGAAUGGAGCACGUGCAGGGACUGCUGGCCUUGGUGUCGAUGAAUUGGCGGAGCAGACAGAACUCUCCUACAUCUUGGUUUGGAACAUGAAAUGAGACAAUCAAUUUGGAUAAAGGUCUGGCUGUUUUUGUAAAACUAAGACAGAUGUAUAAUCUGUCACUUGACACAGUAAUUUUGCUUCUAGGUCCUGACACAAAGGGACAAAAAGACAUAUAGUCGAUGUUGAUUGCAGAUUUAUCCAAAAUAACUCUGAACUGGAAACAGGCCUUGUGAUUAUCAACAAGAUAAACAAAGUACAGUGUGUUCAGCCAGUGGGAUACUGCAGCACCAGAAAGGAUAAACUACUGAUUCAUGCACGCAUGGAACAAAUUCAGAUUAUUUUAUGUCGAAUGAGAGAAGCCUUACAAUAAAAUUUCAAUAUAACUCCACUUACAUUCUCUUCUAAAAUGGGAAAACUGAUUU